AGGACAUGUUCAUUCAAAUAAGUUCGCAACUAUAUUGUUUUAUUUUGUCUAUAAAUUAAAAAAAAAAAUACACAUCAUAACAAAACUUGUAUGUUUUUUCUGCCAGUCCCUGAUUAAAAAGUUGCAUUGUGUUUUUAUGUCAAUUAUGAAAAAAGGCUUCACAAGUUAUAGUAAAUCAGUAAUGAACAAUAGAUCACAUUGUGGAAGCAAUAGUGAAUAAUUAAUGGAUAAUGUAUCAUAGUUUGGUGAUUCAUAAGCCAUAAUAAUUCAUGGAUAAUAGAUCACACUUUGAUGAUUCACAAGCCAAACUAAAUCAUUGAUGGAUAAUGGACCACACUAGGGUAACACACAAGCCAAACUAAAUCAUUGAUGGAUAACAAGCCAAAUAAAUCAUGAUAAGGACCACACUAGGUAACUCACAAGCCAAACUAAAAUCAUUGAUGGAUUAAUGACCCAACUAGGUAACUCACAAGCCAAACUAAAUCAUUGAUGUAAUACAACUAGGUAACACACAAGCCAAACUAAAUCACUGAUGGAUAAUGGACCACACUAGGGUAACUCACAAGCCAAACUAAAUCAUUGAUGGAUAAUGGACAACACUAGGAUAACUCAAAAGCCAAACUAAAUCAUUGAUGGGUAAUGGACCACACUAGGGUAACUCACAAGCCAAACUAAAUCAUUGAUGGAAAAUGGACCACACUAUGGUAACUCACAAGCCAAACUAAAAUCAUUGAUUGAUAAUGGACCACACUAGGGUAACUCACAAGCCAUUUGUUAAUCAUUAAUGUAUAAUGGUGACACACAAGCCAUAAUUAAUCACUGAUGAAUAAUGGAACACACUUGUGUUUCAUAAGCCACAGUUAAUCACUGAUGAAUAAUGGAUCACACUGAUGCGAUUCACAAGCCAUAGUAAAUUAUUGAUGUAUAAUGAAUCACACUGAGAUGAAAGCAGUUAGUACACUAGACUACGGCAUUAUACAAAGUCAAAACAAACAAUACACUUGAAUUGAAAUCAAGUCAUAUUUAUUUACAAUUUUGCUGAUUUGCAUGAUGUCUGAUAUUUACUGUAUUUCUUAAAUCUUUACAUGAGGAAUAUGUAAAGGGAAAUUAUAUAGACAGUUGAUUUAGCAGUCAAUUAUGGGUUGCUACCAAAUGAAAUGUGUUUGCAUAAUAUGGCAUGUGAAGACCACAUGUGAAUAAUAAUAGAAAUGAAUAAACAACAUGAUUAUUACAGGCUCUGUAUUAUGUCAAUAUUUCCUCAUCAAUAAAGAAGGGGAGAGAUUGAUAUCUGAACUAAACUGCAUCAAGUUGAUAUAACUUAAAACAUUUAACCUAGGUCAUCUUACAUUAACACAGGAUGAUGUCAUUUAGCUAAAAACGUGAUUCCAAGACAGUGAUAACUGGUUCAUGGUGGAAUAUUGUUCCAAUUAUACUGUUUAUGGGUAAAAAAAUCAUGAAAACAUAUAACUCAAGUUUACUUAAUAAAAGUAUUAGUUUCUUGGUUGUGCUUUCUUGAUAUCUGCAGUGAAAACCAUACCUUAUAAAAAGUAAAAAUAAUACACAAAAGCUUAUGCCAACAUUGCCUGACCCUAGACAUGCACAUUACUGGAGUUAAAAUUAAUAUUUUCAUAAUUAAGAGAAAUAAGAUGGCAUUUUGAAUUAUGUAAGAUAAUGUCAUAUGUUAAAUAACCAUUGAAGUCAUGUGACUAAAAGAAAAUCAUAAUAUUGUAACAUUUGACCCACCAUUAUAUACAAGGAAGUAUGGACAUAAGAACUUUAAGUAGUUUAUUUUCUAGAAAACCUUCAGACCUGCUGAUGGUUCUACAUAACUUAUGUCUAUUAUAUAAGACAAAAACAAUAGAGCCCCAUAAUUUAUCUUUGACCAGUUAAAUAUUGAUGAAGCUACACCAUGUACUCUUCUUCAUAGUUAGCUUCUAAAUACCAAAAUAAACUAUUCAAAUCAUGUUUUUCACCUUACUAUUGGUUCAUGCCAUGGUUACUAUGGACAAAGAUAAUCCUGGCUACACUAUCUACUAUGUGAGACAGUGUUCAUGCACAUUUUCCACACAAUUUCUAUAAUUUUAAAUCCAUUCAAACUAUAAAAGGGUGAGAGAAACAAUUUAACACUGUCACCAAUGCAAGGCUUGUAAAUCUCAGUAAAAAUCCUUGGCUGCCUGAGAUUAACCAAUCUUAUACUCUUUACAGUGUCAGGUUUGUUAUGUCUUACAACCAAAUGAAUUAAGUUAUCUUUGUGUUUUGUGACAAUUUGGAAGAUCUAAAGAUCCUUUGUAAGGGUUUACGUUUUACAAACUGCCUUUAAUGUAUGUAAUGUCAUAUACAGUAUUAAAAACAUAUCAUAAACAAGAAAUGCAUUGCUUGUUGAAUAUAAAUUUACAAAUAAUUCCACAUAUAAUAAUUACAAUAUGUAAUAAAUAUAUCAACAUUGUAUUUUCAUGAAAAUAUUAAAGUAACAACGUUUUUCCUCUUGUUAAAUUAUCCACUGAUGAUAUUUUACUUGAAGCAUUGUUCUAAAUUAAAAGUUAGUUUAGGACAAAUGAGGUUAUAACUAGAAAUCCACUUCAUUCUGCAUUAAAACUACCGGAUACAAACGACAAAAUAUUUUCAAUAGAAAAGUCUGUCAUUUAUAUCAUACUGUACUUUUUUUC
rnacentral:lncRNA from 1 species